UCUGAAGAUUUACAGGAAUGGAAUAGAGAAAUGCAGAUUAAAUGUACUUAUAAUGGUGUUCAAUUAUCAGAAACAGAAUUUCCCAAAAAUUGGUUAAGAGACGGGAUUCAGAUCAAAAUUUUAUUUCCUUUUUGUCUGAAACCUUGGCAUAUAUCUAAACUGUACCCCUCCCGCAGAGAGCUAAUGAAAAAGCAAAAACAAAAAGAUGAUUUUUGUUUUUUAACAGUUUGGGGAAUGGAAGCUGAACUUCCCUUUGGUUCUCCCCGAAAGCGACCUUCAUUUUUUGAGCCCAUUUUUAAGGAACUCGAAAAAAAAAUUGGAAAAUUCAAAAAGAAAUAUUUUCUAACUCUAAAAAUUUUAAAAGGAAAAACAAAAUUAUUUAGAAGAGUUUCAAAAGAAACCACAAAAUUGUUUAUCAAAAGUAUUGGAUUUCUAAAAAAAAUAAAAAAAGAACUUUCAAAAGUAAAUCUAAUUGUAUUAUUUAGAUUCAAAGAAAUAUCUGAAUCCAAUGAAACAAAAAAAGAAAAAGAUUAUCUAAUUAGUAAUCAAAUAAUUAACGAAUCAUUUCGUCAAAUUGAAUCUGGAAAUUGGCCAAAUUCUUCACUGAUAGAAACAAAAAUGAAGGAUUUGACUGAUAGAACAAGUACAAUCAAAAAUAAAAUAGAAAGAAUUACAAAAGAGAAAAAGAAAGUAACUCCAGAAAUAGACAUUAAUCCUAAUAAAACAAAUAAUAUUAAAAAAUUCGAAUCGCCAAAAAAAAUUUUCCAAAUAUUAAAAAGCAGAAAUACUCGAGUAAUAUGGAAAUUCCAUUAUUUUCUAAAAUUAUUCAUUCAAAGAUUAUACAUCAAUUUAUUUUUAUCUAUCAUUAAUAUUCCUAGAAUUACUACACAACUCUUUCUUAAAUCAACAAACAAAUUGAUUGAGAAAUUCAUCUCCAAUAAUGAAAUAAAUCAAGAAAAAAUUAAUAAUAAAAAAAAAAUUCACUUUAUGUUUAUUUCGACUAUAAAAAAGUCACUUUAUAAUAUUAGUAAGAAAAAUUCACAUAUUUUGUGUGAUUUAUCCUACUUGUCACAAGCAUAUGUAUUUUACAAAUUAUCACAAACCCAAGUUAUUAAUUUUUCUAAAUUUAGAUCUGUUCUUCAAUAUAACACAACGUCUUGUUUCCUUAAGACUAAAAUAAAGGACUAUUUUAAAACACUAGGAAUAUUUCAUUCGGAAUUAAAAGAUAAGAAACUUCAGAGUUAUAGAAUAAAUCAAUGGAAAAACUGGUUAAGAUGGCAUUAUCAAUACGAUUUAUCUCAGAUUAGAUGGUCUAGAUUAAUGCCAAAAAAAUGGCGAACUAGGGUUAAUCAAAGUUGUAUGGCUCAAAAUAAAAAUAGAAACUUAAACAAAUGGAAUUCAUAUGAAAAAGACCAAUUACUUCAUUACAAAAAAGAAAAUGAUUCGGAACUCUAUUCAUUAUCAAACGAAAAAGAUAAUUUUAAAAAAUGUUAUGGAUAUGGUCUUUUAGCAUAUAAAUCGAUUAAUUAUGAAAAUAAAAGUGACUCAUUUUUUUCUAGAUUACCCUUUGAAGUUCAAGUAAAGAAGAACUUAGAAAUUUCGUAUAAUUCCAACACGUCCAAACACAACUUUGUUGAUAUGCCCGGCAAUCUUCAUAUCAAUAAUUAUCUAAGAAAGGGCAAUAUUCUAGAUAGAGAAAGAAAUCUCGAUAGAAAAUAUUUUGAUUGGAAAAUUAUCCAUUUUUCUCUUAGACAAAAAGGAGAUAUUGAAGCCUGGGUUAAGAUCGAUACCAACAGUAAUCCAAAUACUAAAAUUGGUAUUAAUAAUUAUCAAAUAAUUGAUAAAAUUGAGAAAAAGGGGGUUUUUUAUCUUACAACUCAUCAACAUCCAGAAAAAACUCAAAAAAAUUCGAAAAAAGUCUUUUUUGAUUGGAUGGGAAUGAAUGAAAAAAUAUUUAAUCGUCCCAUAUUGAAUCUGGAAUUUUGGUUCUUCCCAGAAUUUGUACUACUUUAUAAUGUCUAUAAAAUAAAACCGUGGAUUAUACCAAGCAAAUUCCUUCUUUUUAAUUUGAAUACAAAUAAAAAUGUUAGUCAAAAUAAAAACCAAAACUUUUUUCUACCAUCAAAUAAAAAAAUAAAAAUAAAGAAUCGAAGUCAAGAAGCAAAAGAACCCCCAAGUCAAAGAGAGCGUGGAUCAGAUAUAGAAAACAAAGGAAAUCUGAGCCCUGUUUUUUCAAAACAUCAAACCGAUCUUGAAAAAGAUUACGUGGAAUCAGACACAAAAAAGGGUAAAAAUAAAAAACAAUACAAAAGCAACACGGAAGCAGAACUAGAUUUGUUCUUGAAACGUUAUUUGCUUUUUCAAUUGAGAUGGAACGGUGCUUUGAAUCAAAGAAUGUUCGAAAAUAUCAAGGUAUAUUGUCUCCUGCUUCGACUGAUAAAUCCAACCAAAAUUACUAUAUCGUCAAUUCAAAGGAGAGAAAUGAGUUUGGAUAUAAUGCUGAUUCAGGCAAAUUUACCUCUUACAGACUUGAUGAAGAAGGGGGUAUUGAUUAUCGAACCUAUUCGGUUGUCUGUAAAAGAUAAUGGACAAUUUAUUAUGUAUCAAACCAUAGGUAUUUCAUUGGUUCAUAAAAGUAAACACCAAACUAAUCAAAGAUACCGAGAACAAAGAUAUGUUGAUAAAAAGAAUUUUGACGAAUUCAUUCUGCAACCUCAAACUCAAAGAAUAAAUACAGAAAAAACUCAUUUUGGUUUGCUUGUUCCUGAAAAUAUUUUAUGGUCUAGACGUCGUAGAGAGUUGAGAAUUCGAAGUUUUUUUAAUUCUUGGAAUUGGAAUGUCGUCGAUAGAAAUUCAGUAUUUUGCAACGAAACCAAUGUAAAAAACUGGAGUCAAUUUUUGGGUGAACGGAAACCCCUUUAUAAAGAUAAAAAUGAAUUAAUUAAAUUUAAGUUCUUUUUUUGGCCUAAUUAUCGAUUAGAAGAUUUAGCUUGUAUGAAUCGUUAUUGGUUUGAUACCAAUAAUGGUAGCCGUUUCAGUAUCUUAAGGAUACAUAUGUAUCCACGAUUGAAAAUUAAUUGAUAGUACUAUAUACCCUGUCUCGUAUAGAGUAUCUGAAAGCAAAUAAAUGCAAACAUGCCUUGUUUUACAUCUCAUUCGAAUCUAAUUCGAGUAGACAAUACUAAAUCAAUAAAAUAAGGUAUUGAUUAGAUCUAGAAAUGAAUCAACAGAAUCUUCUUCAUUUUAGGAUUUUAGGUUUCAAUUAUUCGCUUUUGUGAUUAAAAAAAACGUACCUACCGUCUUUUUGGAUUCCUAUCUGAAUCAAAUUUGAAAUUUGAUUAAUUUAUUGGAAUUGCUAAAAUUAGAGGUUCAUAAAGAAAUUAAGUCUAUAUACCACGUUUAAAUUACUGGCAUUAUUAUUACUGAUCAAUAAAAUUCGAAAAAAUCCAUAUCUGUAAAAUAAAGAAAGGGGAAAUUCAUUUAUGGUAAAAAAUUCUGUCAUUUCAGUUAUUUCUCAAGAAGAAAAGAAAGGAUCUGUUGAAUUUCAAGUAUUCAAUUUCACCAAUAAGAUACGAAGACUUACUUCACAUUUAGAAUUGCACAAAAAAGACUAUUUAUCUCAGAGAGGUUUGAAGAAAAUUUUGGGAAAACGUCAACGACUGCUAGCUUAUUUGGCAAAAAAAAAUAGAGUACGUUAUAAAGAAUUAAUUAAUCGGUUGGACAUUCGAGAGACAAAAACUCGUUAAUUUGAUUAAUUUGAAGAGUUAUUUCAUUUUCACUUAUAUGUUUCGAUUAAAUUUUGAUGAACUUCUUUUCACUUUCAGUAAUUCAUGGAAGAAUGAAUCGUUAAAAAACUUAUGACUGCACCAACUACAAGAAAAGACCUCAUGAUAGUCAAUAUGGGGCCUCAGCACCCAUCAAUGCACGGUGUUCUUCGACUCAUCGUUACUCUAGAUGGUGAAGAUGUUGUCGACUGCGAACCAAUAUUGGGUUAUUUACAUAGAGGGAUGGAGAAAAUUGCGGAAAACCGAACAAUUAUACAAUAUUUGCCUUAUGUAACACGUUGGGAUUAUUUAGCUACUAUGUUCACAGAAGCAAUAACCAUAAAUGGACCCGAACAAUUAGGCAAUAUUCAAGUACCUAAAAGGGCUAGCUAUAUCAGAGUCAUUAUGUUGGAGUUGAGUCGGAUAGCUUCUCAUUUGUUAUGGCUCGGUCCUUUUAUGGCGGAUAUUGGUGCACAGACCCCUUUCUUCUAUAUUUUUAGAGAAAGAGAAUUGAUAUAUGACCUAUUCGAAGCUGCCACCGGUAUGCGAAUGAUGCAUAAUUAUUUUAGGAUUGGAGGAGUGGCUGCCGAUCUACCCUAUGGCUGGAUAGAUAAAUGUUUGGAUUUUUGCGAUUAUUUUUUAACAGGGGUUGCUGAGUAUCAAAAACUUAUUACUCGGAAUCCUAUUUUUUUAGAACGAGUUGAAGGCGUAGGCAUUAUUGGGAGAGACGAGGCAUUAAAUUGGGGUUUAUCGGGACCAAUGCUACGAGCUUCCGGAAUAGAAUGGGAUCUUCGUAAAGUUGAUCAUUAUGAGUCUUACGACGAAUUUGAUUGGCAGGUUCAAUGGCAACGAGAAGGGGAUUCAUUAGCUCGUUAUUUAGUACGAAUCGGUGAAAUGACAGAAUCCAUAAAGAUUAUUCAACAGGCUCUGGAAGGAAUUCCAGGGGGCCUUACGAAAAUUUAGAAAUGCGACGUUUUGACAGAUUAAAAGAUCCUGAAUGGAAUGAUUUUGAAUAUCGGUUUAUUAGUAAAAAGCCUUCUCCAACUUUUGAAUUGUCGAAACAAGAACUUUAUGUGAGAGUUGAAGCCCCAAAAGGAGAAUUGGGGAUUUUUCUGAUAGGAGAUCAGAGCGUUUUUCCUUGGAGAUGGAAAAUUCGCCCACCAGGUUUUAUCAAUUUGCAAAUUCUUCCUCAGUUAGUUAAAAGAAUGAAAUUGGCUGAUAUUAUGACAAUACUAGGUAGCAUAGAUAUCAUUAUGGGAGAAGUUGAUCGUUGAAAUGAUAAUUGAUACAACAGAAAUAGAGACUAUCAAUUCUUUUUCCAAAUUGGAAUCCUUAAAAGAAGUCUAUGGGAUCAUAUGGAUGCUUGUCCCUAUUGUGACUCUUGUAUUAGGAAUCACAAUAGGUGUACUAGUAAUUGUUUGGUUAGAAAGAGAAAUAUCUGCAGGAAUACAACAACGUAUUGGGCCUGAAUAUGCCGGCCCGUUAGGAAUUCUUCAAGCUCUAGCAGAUGGGACAAAACUACUUUUGAAAGAGAACCUUAUUCCAUCUACAGGAGAUACUCGUUUAUUCAGUAUCGGACCAUCCAUAGCAGUAAUAUCUAUCUUUCUAAGUUAUUCAGUAAUUCCUUUUGGUGAUCACCUUGUUCUAGCCGAUCUUAGUAUUGGUGUUUUUUUUUGGAUUGCCAUUUCAAGUAUUGCUCCCGUUGGACUUCUUAUGUCGGGGUAUGGAUCAAAUAAUAAAUAUUCCUUUUUAGGUGGUCUACGGGCAGCUGCUCAAUCAAUUAGUUAUGAAAUACCAUUAGCUCUAUGUGUGUUAUCAAUAUCUCUACGUGUGAUUCGGUGAGACCUAAAAUUUAUCCAAAUUCUUUUCUUUCUAGAAACAAGGAUAAAAAGAUUUGAUUGAUUAUAUAUAUUUUUUUUCUUCAGCAUUUGAGUUGAUGAACUAAAUCAGAUAGUUAUAUGAGUGAAAGAAAACGGCUUCUAAAUUUGCAGUAAAAAAGUUGAGUCUCAUUUCCUAUGUACAAGAAUCAAAUGGUGAAAAAAGUAAACAUAAGCAAGAGAGAUUGUUUACCCCAAGAUUCGUGAAUUGUCAUGAUAGCUUGAAGCGGGUUCAAAAGACCAACUCUAUGGAGUUUUUACUGUCUAUUACCAUAGAUGGAUUUCCACAACGGGAGGUUUUUGAAACAAAAAAUGAGUGGAUGGUUAGGAAGACUAAGAUACACAAAGGAUUAGUAAUUGAGAUUAUGUAAGUUAUCCAAGAGGAUAUUUCUGUACAUAAAAGGAAUUCAAAUUGGGGCUUUACGUUCGUAGAAAUGAUCAAGAAGUACUCCCCAUGAUUCUGAUCCAGAGUAUGUUCCUAUCCACUGAGUAAGUAACUAACUAUCAAGAACGAAGUAAUCUUUUACUUUGGUUAAAGACCCUUUUUCUGAGAAAGGAGAAUAGGAAUGAAAUAAAAAAAUCGAAAUAGAAAGAAAAGAAGCUAAUUGCAAAAGGAAAAAGGAGGGAUGUCUUUUUUUGUUUUUAUUCUUUCUUUCCUAUAAUUCAAUUUUUAUUUCUAUUUAGAGAGAUAAAAUUUUUGUCAUGAUUCAUGAACUAAUGUACUCUCUAAUUUUUUUCGUAAUUGAAAAUUCGAGGUUGAAAUGUAUAUGUGAUAUUGCUAUAAAGCACAUUUUUUUAUUUAAUGAUAAGGUUAUUAAUCAACAAAGAAAAAUUAAAAUUCUUAAAAGAUGAGAUAAAUUCAGAAGCACUUAUUUAUUAGUUUUAAAUAUAGCAGACAGAAUUCCAUUGGUCUAAUUUGGGACCUUAGAAUAGAUUUUGACUCUAUCUGACAAACAUAUCAAGAUAAAGAAUAGGAAAGGGCCCUUAGAUUUAGUUGUGACCUCUGAGGAGCCGUAUGAGGUGAAAAUCUCACGUACGGUUCUGUAAUAGCGAUGGGCACAGUGAUGUUAUCAUCGACUAUGAUUAUCUAACAGUUUAAGUACAGUUGAUAUAGUGGAAGCGCAGUCAAAAUAUGGUUUUUGGGGGUGGAAUUUGUGGCGUCAACCCAUCGGGUUUAUCGUUUUUCUAAUUUCUUCUCUCGCCGAGUGUGAAAGAUUACCUUUUGAUUUACCAGAAGCAGAAGAAGAAUUAGUAGCAGGGUAUCAAACCGAAUAUUCUGGUAUCAAAUUUGGUUUAUUUUACAUUGCUUCAUAUCUGAAUCUACUAGUUUCUUCAUUAUUUGUAACAGUUCUUUACUUGGGAGGUUGGAAUCUUUCUAUUCCGUACAUAUUUGUUCCUGAUAUAUUUGGCAUAAAUAAAGGAGGUAAAGUCUUUGGAACACUAAUUGGUAUCUUUAUCACAUUAGCCAAAACUUAUUUGUUUUUGUUCAUUCCCAUUGCAACAAGAUGGACUUUACCGAGGCUGAGAAUGGACCAACUAUUAAAUCUUGGGUGGAAAUUUCUUUUACCGAUUUCUCUAGGUAAUCUAUUAUUGACAACCUCGUCCCAACUUCUUUCACUGUAAAAGACCACAAUAUCCUAGAUUCACGACUUGUCUCAAACAAGAGAAAGAAACAAGCAUAAAAUCUUUUUUAUAGAUAUUCAACAUAUGCUCCCUAUGAUAACUGAAUUCAUAAAUUAUGGUCAACAAACAAUACGAGCCGCCAGAUAUAUCGGCCAAGGUUUCAUGAUUACCCUGUCCCACGCAAAUCGUUUACCUGUAACUAUUCAAUACCCCUACGAAAAAUUGAUCACAUCGGAACGUUUCCGAGGCCGAAUACACUUUGAAUUUGAUAAAUGCAUUGCUUGUGAAGUAUGUGUGCGUGUAUGUCCUAUAGAUUUACCCGUUGUUGAUUGGAAGUUGGAAACUGAUAUUCGAAAGAAACGAUUGCUUAAUUACAGUAUUGAUUUUGGAAUCUGUAUAUUUUGUGGUAAUUGCGUUGAGUAUUGCCCAACAAAUUGUUUAUCAAUGACCGAAGAAUAUGAACUUUCUACUUAUGAUCGUCACGAAUUGAAUUAUAAUCAAAUCGCUUUGGGUCGCUUACCAAUGUCAGUAAUUGAUGAUUACACAAUUCGAACAAUUUCGAAUUUACCUCAAAUAAACAAUGAAUAAACCCUUAAUUUGAUUCAAAAAAAUUACAAAUUACGAAGGCUUAGUUCGGAUCUAAAACAAUGAGAUUUUUGCUUGGGCAAUUCAAACUAGUGGUUUCUUAAUGAGACUCCUAGCUUAAGCUUAAUUUAGAUUGAAAACAAAACCGAGUUCAAUAUUAUAUAUUAUAAUAGUAAUGGUUUCAAAGUAGAUAAAUGAUAUCAAAAAUAGAUAGGUUUAAACUCCUCUUUCGACGAAUAAAGAAUGGAUAGUGGUCCAAUAAAAUAAAAGCAUCUACGUCAAUUCAUACCCAUUAGACUUUCAUUCAAUUAACAAUUUCAAAGUAUCAUAAAAAAUAGAAAAACUGCUUUUUUCCUGGUCAGGUCAAUAAAGUCAUGAAAUUCUUCGUUUUUGAUUUUUUAUAAAAAAUGGAUUUAUCUGAACCAAUACAUGAUUUUCUUUUAGUCUUUCUAGGAUCGGGUCUUAUAUUAGGGGGUCUAGGAGUGGUAUUACUUCCCAAUCCAAUUUAUUCGGCCUUUUCCUUGGGAUUGGUUCUUGUUUGUACAUCGUUAUUCUAUAUUCUAUCUAACGCCUAUUUUGUAGCUGCUGCGCAGCUACUUAUUUACGUAGGAGCUAUAAAUGUUUUAAUCAUUUUUGCUGUGAUGUUCAUGAAUGGCUCAGAAUAUUACAAGGAUUUUCAUCUUUGGACCGUAGGAGAUGGAAUUACUUCGAUGGUUUGUAUAAGUCUUUUUAUUUCACUAAUUACUACUAUUUCAGAUACGUCAUGGUACGGGAUUAUUUGGACUACAAGAUCAAACCAGAUUAUAGAGCAAGAUUUUCUAAGUAAUAGUCAACAAAUUGGAAUUCAUUUAUCAACAGAUUUUUUUCUCCCAUUUGAACUUAUUUCCAUAAUCCUUUUAGUUGCUUUAAUAGGUGCAAUUGCUGUAGCUCGUCAAUAAAAAAUUUCUAUUAAAACUUGGAAUUCAAAUAAAAUUUUGUUCUGUCUUAUCACAUUAAUUUUCCUUCAAUUCUAUUUGAAUUCUAGCUGGAUAAAUAGAAAGACUUUAGGUCAAUCUAGUAACAAUAUAUUUCUUUGUUCCAUACUUGUUAUAUACUAGUCAAUUAAGUUAGUUGAAUUGUUGUUCAUAUUGAAAGGAGUCGGGAUUGAUAAGGAGUUGUUUAAUGAUUCUCGAACAUGUACUUGUUUUGAGUGCCUAUUUAUUUUCCAUCGGUAUCUAUGGAUUGAUCACAAGUCGAAAUAUGGUUAGAGCCCUUAUGUGUCUUGAACUUAUAUUGAAUGCAGUUAAUAUCAAUUUUGUAACAUUUUCUGAUUUUUUUGAUAAUCGUCAAUUAAAGGGAGACAUUUUCUCAAUUUUUGUUAUAGCUAUUGCAGCCGCUGAAGCAGCCAUUGGCCUGGCUAUUGUUUCAUCAAUUUACCGUAACAGAAAAUCAACUCGUAUCAACCAAUCAAAUUUGUUGAAUAAUUAAUAUUAAUCAUCUAGAUUCUAAUAUUGAGAAAUCUAUUUUAAUUAGCAUGUUUACUACGUAAAGUAUGAUCUUGUUUGCAAAACAUAAGAAAUCAAAGUAUUUUGGCCUCUCUCAUAUCUCAUAAACCAAUCCAGAAAGGGGUUGAUUAGAAAAUUAUGAUAACUCAUUGAUUCAUCUGGUAUCUAAAUAUACGAUUCGUUUCUAAGUUUACUAGAUCGAAAAUUUAGAACAUUCAAAAACGUAUAGGCCCAAUGUCACAUUCAGUAAAGAUUUAUGAUACGUGUAUAGGAUGUACUCAAUGUGUCCGAGCCUGCCCCACUGAUGUAUUAGAAAUGAUACCUUGGGACGGUUGUAAGGCUAAACAAAUUGCUUCUGCUCCACGAACAGAGGACUGUGUUGGUUGUAAGAGAUGUGAAUCCGCCUGUCCAACAGAUUUCUUGAGUGUCCGAGUUUAUUUAUGGCAUGAAACAACUCGCAGUAUGGGUCUAGCUUAUUGAUACGUUCGAGAAAACUCUACUUGAAUCCAUUUAAUUUUUUUACCGACAAACCUGUGCUCGAAAAUAAAAAUAUUUUGAGCACGGGUUUUUUUGGUCCAAGUGUAUCUUGUCUUUACUACGAAUUAUUUUCCUUGGUUAACAAUAAUUGUCGUUUUUCCGAUAUUUGCGGGUUCUUUAAUUUUCUUUCUUCCCCAUAAAGGAAAUAGGGUAAUUAGGUGGUAUACAAUAUGUAUAUGUAUUUUAGAACUCCUUCUAACAACUUAUGCAUUUUGUUAUCAUUUCCAAUCGGAUGAUCCAUUAAUCCAACUAGUAGAGGAUUAUAAAUGGAUCGAUUUUUUUGAUUUCCAUUGGAGAUUAGGAAUAGAUGGACUUUCUAUAGGACCCAUUUUAUUAACAGGAUUUAUCACUACUUUAGCGACUUUAGCGGCUUGGCCAGUUACUCGAGAUUCUAGAUUAUUCCAUUUUCUCAUGUUAGCAAUGUACAGUGGUCAAAUUGGAUUAUUUUCGUCUCGGGACCUUUUACUUUUUUUCAUCAUGUGGGAGUUAGAAUUAAUUCCUGUUUAUCUACUUCUAGCCAUGUGGGGAGGAAAGAAACGUCUGUACUCAGCUACAAAAUUUAUUUUGUACACGGCGGGGGGUUCCGUUUUUCUCUUAAUGGGAGUUUUGGGUGUUGCUUUAUAUGGUUCUAAUGAACCAACAUUAAAUUUUGAAACAUCAGUUAAUCAGUCAUAUCCUGUGGUUUUAGAAAUAAUCUUCUAUAUUGGAUUUUUUAUUGCUUUUGCUGUCAAAUCGCCCAUUAUCCCCCUACACACAUGGUUACCAGAUACCCAUGGAGAAGCACAUUACAGUACUUGUAUGCUUCUAGCCGGAAUCUUAUUAAAAAUGGGAGCGUAUGGAUUAAUUCGAAUCAAUAUGGAAUUAUUACCUCAUGCCCAUUCUAUAUUUUCUCCUUGGUUGAUGAUAAUAGGUACAAUACAAAUAAUCUAUGCAGCUUCAACAUCUCUUGGCCAACGGAAUUUAAAAAAAAGAAUAGCCUAUUCCUCUGUCUCUCAUAUGGGUUUCAUAAUUAUAGGAAUUAGUUCUCUAACCGAUACGGGACUAAAUGGAGCCCUUUUACAAAUAAUCUCUCAUGGAUUUAUUGGUGCUGCACUUUUUUUCUUGGCGGGAACGACUUAUGAUAGAAUCCGCCUUGUUUAUCUUGACGAAAUGGGCGGAAUAGCUAUUCCAAUGCCAAAAAUGUUCACGAUGUUCAGUAGCUUUUCGAUGGCUUCCCUUGCAUUACCAGGUAUGAGUGGUUUUGUUGCCGAAUUGAUAGUAUUUUUUGGAAUAAUUACCGGCCAAAAAUAUCUUUUAAUGCCAAAACUACUAAUUACUUUUGUAAUGGCAAUUGGAAUUAUAUUAACUCCUAUUUAUUCAUUAUCUAUGCCACGCCAGAUGUUCUAUGGAUACAAGUUAUUUAACGCCCCGAAGGAUUCUUUUUUUGAUUCUGGACCGCGAGAGUUAUUUCUUUCGAUCUCCAUCUUUUUACCCGUAAUAGGUAUUGGUAUAUACCCCGAUUUCGUUCUUUCAUUAGCAGUUGACAAGGUCGAAGUUAUUCUAUCUAAUUUUUUUAUAGAUAAUUGGAUGACUGAAAUAAAAAAACCUAUGUUUGUUUUUAAAAACAUUCUUGGACAAUGAAAAAAAGUCUUCUUUUUUCUUCUCUUUUAACUUAAGAAUUAAGUAAAAACAAUGAAAUUGAACUACAUAUGGUAGAAAACCGUGUGAAUCAUCAAUACAAUAUUUGAUUCACACGGUCCGCAUGCUGGUUCAUACAAUGCGUCGCCCGCUCUUGUAUUUGUAAUAACUUGUCUUGAAUUCAAUUAAAUGUUGAUGGAAAAGAACCAUAACUAUGUAACCCUAUUCCUAAUAGAUUGACCCCAAAAUAGCAUAUCCAAAUUAUAAGAAAACCUAUCGACGCUACAAUUGCAGAAUUUGGACCCCGCAAAUUUCUAUUUGUUCGAGUAUGUAAAUAAAUGGCAAAUACGAUCCAAGUAAUAAAUGCCCAAGUUUCUUUUGGAUCCCAAUUCCAAUAGGAACCCCACGCUUCAUUAGCCCAUACCGCUCCCGAAAGGAUUCCUAUGGUUAAAAAAGUAAAUCCUAAACUAAUAACCCGAUAACUCCAAUAAUCCAAUUGUUGAAUCAAUUGGGACCUGUAAUAAUUUUUAGCACAAAAAAACGAAGUAUUUUCGACAACAUUUUCACCCAAGAAAAAUGACUCGUUUAAAAAAACAUUGCUCUUAGAAAAAAGCUUUCUGUUUUUUCGAAAUGUAAUCACUAGAAGUGCUACUGAUAAUAACGAUCCACAUAAAAGGGCUGCAUAGCCCAAUAUCAUCAUACUUACGUGCAUUAUUAACCACUCAGAUUGAAGAGCAGGUACUAAGAUUCCAGAUUGGUGUAUUUCAGUUAAAAUACCUGAAGUAGCAAAGCCUUGGGUCAAAAUAGCACUUGGUCCAGUUAUUUUACUUAAAAUUAAAACAUUUUUUUUGAAAUAUGGAAUUAUAUGAAUAAGGGAGAAACUCCAUGAAAGGAAAAUUAAUGAUUCAUAUAAAUCGCUUAGUGGGAAAUGUCCUGAAGAAACCCAACGAGUAACUAAUAAUCCUGUUAUACAGAAAAAAGUAACUAUUAUGCCCUUUUCUGACGAAUCGUAU
rnacentral:lncRNA from 1 species